rnacentral:rRNA from 1 species
AGCGGCGGACGGGUGAGUAACGCGUGGGUAACCUGCCUCAUACAGGGGGAUAACAGUUGGAAACGGCUGCUAAUACCGCAUAAGCGCACAGUACCGCAUGGUACCGUGUGAAAAACUCCGGUGGUAUGAGAUGGACCCGCGUCUGAUUAGCUAGUUGGUGGGGUAACGGCCUACCAAGGCGACGAUCAGUAGCCGACCUGAGAGGGUGACCGGCCACAUUGGGACUGAGACACGGCCCAA